UCUGUGCGAGGUUAAAAAUAAUUUCCGAUAUACUUCCGCUUUGUCUGAGUAAUGCCUUUUUCGGAUUUGUUCUGAGAUACUUCGGUAUAGAGUCUACACCCGCUGAAUAGUUCGAAGGUAUACGAUUGCAAAAUAACAUUAGGAAUUCUCUGCUUUAUUGAAAUUCACAGGCCACGCCACCAGCACCAUAGCCGUGGUUGUGUCCUUGAGUAAAAUGUUUAAAAUCACCAUAAGCAGGCCGAUCCCGCACCAUAAAGCACAAUUCAUGGUUGAUGCAUUGAGUAGGAAGUACUUUUGACAAGACAGAAAUACUUGUAUUAGGACCACAUGCAGCUAGAAGUAAGCUUUCUGAUUACACAGUAACUCUGGAUGGCCUUUCUGUUUCAUCAUGUGCAGCAGUAAAAGACCUUGGUGUGAUUAGAAAGAGACAUCUUGGAAUGCUGCUUACUGGAUGAACCUCAUCACAGAAGGUGCCCUUUGUUUGGGUGUCAGUCAUGAAAAAUGCAAAAAAGGACCAAUCAAAGGAUCAGUGCCUUGUUCAUGAUAUGGCUGCGUCACACACACUGAUGAUGAGAACCACAGGAGAGAAUAACAUGGUAAAUACAUUACAUUUUUAUAAACCUCACAUAAUUGAUUAAUUCAUGUAUUCAUUAAUCUAACACCUGGAUGUGUGUGUACCAUGCAAGACAGUCAAUAAGGUCACACAGUGACCAUGACACGGUAUUUGUUUUGAAUACCUCCUUACAUCACUCUGCUCCUUUUACUCUACUCGCCUGGGACCAAACCAUCUCGGCAUGGCUGAGUGUAUUCAUGCCGCUAACAUGCUUAAGUGGUUCUCCCUCACCUUACCACACUCUACACCACUGAGUUUACAAAAUUGGCUAGAUUCUGCUAACACACAUGCACAGGCUGGAGUUGGGAUUUUUUCUAAUUCCGCAUAUCAGUGCCAAGUGAUAUUUUACUGGUAGUAAAAUGUUCUCUUUCAGGGUUUAGUGUUCUACCAACAGCCUUCAGGCAUUUUUUAAAAUAUAUUUUCACAUGGAGUUAAUUAGAAUCGAAAGUGACAACACCACAACCAAAAUAUUUCUUGUACUGUUUUUGUUUUCUUACAUAGAUUAUUAAUUUCUCAGUUUCAUACAACUUGUUGAUCUAGUGAGGAAGGCAUGUGCAUGUUAGUAAAGGGGAGUGCACUUUUCUGGGCAUGCAAGUGUG
ensembl:lncRNA